rnacentral:rRNA from 1 species
UACGUAGGGGGCAAGCGUUGUCCGGAUUUAUUGGGCGUAAAGAGCGUGUAGGCGGCCAGGUAGGUCUGCUGUGAAAACUCGAGGCUCAACCUCGAGACGUCGGCGGAAACCAUCUGGCUAGAGUCCGGAAGAGGAGAGUGGAAUUCCUGGUGUAGCGGUGAAAUACGUAGAGAUUGGGAAGAACACCAGUGGCGAAGGCGGCUAUCUGGACGGUUUCUGACGCUAAGACGCGAAAGCGUGGGGAGCAAACAGG